CUUCGGUCGUUUGGCCGGGAUUUUGGCUCCGAUUUGGCCACAGGAGAAAUCAGCGUGGAAAAACGAGUCGGGAGUAUGAAAUUUACCUCGAUCGGCGGUCGAAAAUCCCUCCGGUGCGGCGGCGGGUGGCAGCGGCCGGCUUCUGGUUCGUCUUCUCCGGCGAGGGCAGACGGCUAGGGUUUGGGGUCUGGUGUGGGGGUCUUAUUUAUACCCUUU
rnacentral:lncRNA from 1 species